rnacentral:rRNA from 1 species
AUUGAACGCUAGCGGGAUGUCUUACACAUGCAAGUCGAACGGCAGCGCGGACUUCGGUCUGGCGGCGAGUGGCGAACGGGUGAGUAAUGUAUCGGAACGUGCCACGUAGCGGGGGAUAACUACACGAAAGAGUAGCUAAUACCGCAUACGCCCUACGGGGGAAAGGGGGGGAUCGCAAGACAACUCAAGAUUAGAGCGGACGAUAUCAGAUUAGCUAGUUGGUGAGGUAGAGGCUCACCAAGGGAACGAUCCGUAGCUGGUUUGAGAGGACGACCAGCCACACUGGGACUGAGACACGGCCCAGACUCCUACGGGAGGCAGCAGUGGGGAAUUUUGGACAAUGGGGGCAACCCUGAUCCAGCCAUUCCGCGUGUGCGAUUAAGGCCUUCGGGUUGUAAAGCACUUUUGGCAGGAAAGAAAUCGCACGGAUUAAUACUCUGUGUGGAUGACGGUACCUGCAGAAUAAGCACCGGCUAACUACGUGCCAGCAGCCGCGGUAA